UACGUAGGGGGCAAGCGUUGUCCGGAAUUAUUGGGCGUAAAGAGCGCGUAGGCGGUCCGGUAAGUCGGCUGUGAAAGUCAAGGGCUCAACCCUUGAAAGCCGGCCGAUACUGUCGGACUAGAGUCCGGAAGAAGCGAGUGGAAUUCCCGGUGUAGCGGUGAAAUGCGCAGAUAUCGGGAGGAACACCAAUGGCGAAGGCAGCUCGCUGGGACGGUACUGACGCUGAUGCGCGAAAGCCAGGGGAGCGAACGGG
rnacentral:rRNA from 1 species